AAUGUAUAUGUAAGGGUGUGUAAAAAAAAUUAUCGUCCUUUUAAAUUAUUUCGAUUUUUUACUAGAAUUUUUACUAUGCUAUAUGUAUAGAUCAUAAAAUGUAAUUGUACCUAUCGCAUCGAUACGCUCACGAGUUGUCAAUUGUGAAAAUUGAUUAGGCGCAUGGACACCGACGAUCGCCAAUUGUGUGAAACAAUUGCGUUCAGAAUCUUGUGGUACCUGUCGUGAUCGCAUCUUCGGAAGUAAUGGGGGUUCGUGUCCCACCGGCUCUCGAAUGAUAGUGCGGGGAUCUUAGAUCGUAAAUGGUGCUGUCCACAAACGAGCGACGAGCAUCGUGUUUACGAUGUCAGCCAGGGGUGAUCGCUGAUCCAGAAGUGAUGCUGAAGAUGCACGACAGCAUGAGAUGAGUGUUGGUUUUCUUUCUCGGGACAAUGACAAUGCAGCAAUUCUUGGCAGCUGCUCGUCCCCUUUCACCAAUAACAAUUUUUGCAACGAGGCCUGCAGCGACAAUGCUCGAGGAUUUUUCUCCUCGCACAUGCAAUAUGCAUCGAGAAAAAAAUCUCUGCGUAAUUGUGUUCUUCACGUGGAUUGUUUUGCGGAAAAUGAUACUUUCGUUUGUGUUGAAUGGACGCUACACAUAAUAACACAACAAAUAUUUGGUGGGGAUAAACAUAAAAUUGAAGUUUUCACGCCCGAGAUAUUUUUCAAGCGUAUUUCUUUACAUGAGAGAAACGCAGGGCCGCGGUACCGCAGAAUAAAUUCAGUGCGCAGUGAAUAAAUAUACCGCCCGUUGUUGAUGUUGUUUGUAAUAUUUUAUAAAAUGCAUUAAAAAUUUAUCUCACCAUGUUAAUGCAAGUUCUACAUCUGCUUAAUGUUUUUCUAAAUAAAUAUUAAAAUAAUUAAAAAAAUGUAAAGUAUUACGUAGAACGCAUAAAUUUGUAAGUAGAAUUAACGAUAAUGCGUUUAUAUAAAAAUCUAGAUAUAAUUAUUACAAUUUAUUAUAUGUACCAGUUCUCUUUGUUUAAACUAAACUAACUGCAGUUUAAGAUAA